UACGAAGGGGGCUAGCGUUGCUCGGAAUCACUGGGCGUAAAGGGCGCGUAGGCGGCCGAUUAAGUCGGGGGUGAAAGCCUGUGGCUCAACCACAGAAUUGCCUCGAUACUGGUGGCUUGAGACCGGAAGAGGACAGCGGAACUGCGAGUGUAGAGGUGAAAUUCGUAGAUAUUCGCAAGAACACCAGUGGCGAAGGCGGCUGUCUGGUCCGGUUCUGACGCUGAGGCGCGAAAGCGUGGGGAGCAAACAGG
rnacentral:rRNA from 1 species